GCAGAGGACCAGACAGAGACCCCAAGGUCAUGGCUCCGUGACCUGCCAGACACACUCAGAAAUGUGCCCCACGAGUUCCCAGAAAAUUCUGCACAUCUGGAAAGAACAGCAGUGAAGAACAGGAACUGGCAUAUCUGUGCUCUGCUCCUACUGGGCAUGUUUCAUUUAAUUUCCUCUGUUUUUAUGGUGCUUUCCUGUGCUGCUACCCCAGACAUUCAAUAAAACACCUUACCUCGUAGAAAUCAUAAGGAAG
rnacentral:lncRNA from 1 species